GCAAUGAUGAAUUUUCAAUAGCGUUGAACAUGUGAAGUGAUGAUAUUCACCCUCUAAGAAGUUCUGAGCUG
ensembl:snoRNA SNORD61 small nucleolar RNA, C/D box 61